GAUGAACGCUGGCGGCGUGCCUAAUACAUGCAAGUCGAGCGAAUGGAUUAAGAGCUUGCUCUUAUGAAGUUAGCGGCGGACGGGUGAGUAACACGUGGGUAACCUGCCCAUAAGACUGGGAUAACUCCGGGAAACCGGGGCUAAUACCGGAUAACAUUUUGAACCGCAUGGUUCGAAAUUGAAAGGCGGCUUCGGCUGUCACUUAUGGAUGGACCCGCGUCGCAUUAGCUAGUUGGUGAGGUAACGGCUCACCAAGGCAACGAUGCGUAGCCGACCUGAGAGGGUGCUCGGCGACCCUGGGACUGAGACACGGCCCAGACUCCUACGGGAGGCAGCAGUAGGGAAUCUUCCGCAAUGGACGAAAGUCUGACGGAGCAACGCCGCGUGAGUGAUGAAGGCUUUCGGGUCGUAAAACUCUGUUGUUAGGGAAGAACAAGUGCUAGUUGAAUAAGCUGGCACCUUGACGGUACCUAACCAGAAAGCCACGGCUAACUACGUGCCAGCAGCCGCCGUAA
rnacentral:rRNA from 1 species